rnacentral:rRNA from 1 species
AUGCCUCCUACCUAUGAUGAUUAUAUUGAUGAAAGUGGGUUCGGAAGAGUGUCAACUUUAGGAAGUAGUGAUCCCACUAUUUUGGAGGAUGUUGAAUUUUAUUUUGAUGAAUACGAAAGUGGAUUUGGAAGAGUGUCAACUUUAUUUAGUGAUUCCACUAUCUUGGGAGAGGUUUCAAUCGAUUAUGAUGAGAACGAAGUUGCUACUUAUGAUGAUUAUAGUGAUGAAACUUAUGCUAUAAAAAGUAGUGAUGAUUAUAUUUACAAAUCUUGUCAUGAUUAUGAUUACCCUUUUUUGAACAUUACUCUUUUAUUGUGGAAACAAUUUUUAGUGUUCAAGUCUCUUAUGAUACUCCCACAAUUCCGAAUGAGAAGAAUUUUGCUUAUGUGGAGAGUAGUAAAUUUUCUAUGCUUGUAG